rnacentral:rRNA from 1 species
AUGUCGCAGAGCGGCGCGCCGCGCCAGUCGCGCACUCCUCCACCCGCGAAACAGCGACGGCGCUCGCCCACCCGCGGCAGGAGUAGAGUUCGACGUGGUGGCGGCGAGGUGGUCGUGCAGCAGGUCGUGCGCGAGUCCAGCAGUGGCUCCGGCGCAAACCUGCAGUUCCCGAUGCUGACGCGUGGCGGGUACACGCACUGGGCGAUGGUCAUGGAGGUAAACCUUCAGGCCGCGUCGCUCUGGGACGCGAUCGAGGACGACACCGUCCCUCGCGUCGACGACAAGAAGACCCUGGCGGCGCUGCUCCGAUCGACGCCGGCCGACAUGCACUGCAUGUUGAUCGGGAAGGGAUCGGCCAAAGCGGCGUGGGAGGCGAUCCGGGUCCAGUACCAAGGACCUGAUCGCGUGCGCGACGAACGACUGCGGCGUCUGCGAACUGAGUUCGAAACCGUGGUGUUCACGGACGGCGAGAAGAUCCAGGAUUUCGCCAUCCGCAUCUCCAACCUCGCCGCUGCACUGCGUUCACUGGGGAACGCCGUCGACGAAGAGAAAAUAGUGAGAAAAUUCCUUUCAGUUGUUCUUUCGCGUUUUGCACAGAUCGCCUUCUCGAUGGAAACCCUCCUCGACCCUGCAUCGUUGACUGUCGAGGAGGUCACGGGCCAUCUGCGCGCGAUCAAGGAGCGCAUGGAUGGAGACCAGGGCAGCGGCUCCGCAGGCGGGCAGCUGCUCCUCACUGAGGAACAGUGGGAGGCACGCAAGCGCCAGCCCCGUGGCGGUGGUUCUGGCGUCAAGAACGACGACCGCGGCAAGAGGAGCGGCCAGCCGCCACCGGUGCCGGUGGCCGCAAACCUCGCCGAGGCAGAGGAGGACGGCGGUCCUGGCCUCAUGAUGGCGUGUGUCGAGGAAGUGCGCGAGGGCAUAGAUCACGCGGCCACCCCUGCAUCAACACUGGUGAGCGCGUCGUGCAACUCUGCGGUGCACAACGGCGGCCAAGUCUUUCUGAACGAAGAGAAGGCCGUCAUCACGCCCUCCCUCGACGGCGAUCAGGGGCGGCACAAUUCAGACAGAUCUAGCAUCAAGCUAAUAAUUAAGAACAUGGCGAAAUUGCACCACCAAUCCACAACAAUGAGCAUGCCGAAGCAAGAGCUUGCCUACCUGGGGUGGGCUGCGCUGAAGGUGGAAGAAGAGUUCGACCAAGGGAGCAGAGGGAGAGCUCAGGAGGAUAUGUGCCCAAAAACACAGAUCCAGCCGAGUGGAGAGAGAGUCGGCAAAAGCAACUUCCGCUCGCUCAUCUCCUUCCCGCCGCCGCCAAGAAACCUCGCCGUGCGCUCGGCGGUGGCCCGUCUAGCUGCGCGUGGUCAGAGAGAGGAGCUCGACGGGACGGAGAGGAGGAGGCCGGGCGGCUCGCGCCGCCGGCCCGAGCGUUGGGUCGAGGCAGAGCUAGCAGGGAGAGAGACCGCGCGCGGCUAG